GAUGAACGCUGGCGGCGUGCCUAAUACAUGCAAGUCGAGCGAACGGACGAGAAGCUUGCUUCUCUGAUGUUAGCGGCGGACGGGUGAGUAACACGUGGAUAACCUACCUAUAAGACUGGGAUAACUUCGAGAAACCGGAGCUAAUACCGGAUAAUAUUUUGAACCGCAUGGUUCAAAAGAGAAAGACGGUCUUGCUGUAACUUAUAGAUGGAUCCGCGCUGCAUUAGCUAGUUGGUAAGGUAACGGCUUACCAAGGCAACGAUGCAUAGCCGACCUGAGAGGGUGAUCGGCCACACUGGAACUGGGACACGGUCCAGACUCCUACGGGAGGCAGCAGUAGGGAAUCGUCCGCAAUGGGCGAAAGCCUGACGGAGCAACGCCGCGUGAGUGAUGAAGGUCUUCGGAUUGUAAAACUCUGUUAUUAGGGAAGAACAUAUGUGUAAGUAACUGUGCACAUCUUGACGGUACCUAAUCAGAAAGCCACGGCUAACUACGUG
rnacentral:rRNA from 1 species